rnacentral:sRNA from 1 species
CGAGCGGCCGAUCCGAGACGUGGCUCCCCGGGCGGAAGAACCAUGUUGGACUUCGCGAUCUUCGCCGUUACCUUCUUGCUGGCGUUGGUGGGAGCGGUGCUCUACCUCUAUCCGCGGACCCUUUUGAAACCAUGCUGAAGUCAUUAUUAAGGUAUCAAUCUGGUGGUGGCAGUGUGAGUGAAAACCACAUGAGGAAAAAAUUGUAUGAAAAUGGUGUGACUGAUUCUCUGAAGAGUAACUUUGCCCUCCUCCUAAAGCUUUCAGAAGAAUUAUUAGAUAAAUGGCUCUCCUACCCAGAGACCCAGCACGUGCCCCUCAGCCAGCAUAUGCUUGGUUUUGCUAUGAAGUCUGUUACACAGAUGGUAAUGGGUAGUACAUUUGAAGAUGAUCAGGAAGUCAUUCGCUUCCAGAAGAAUCAUGGCACAAUCCUAGAAGACAGUAUGAUAUUUUCUCUGGCCAGUUGCAUAAUAACUGCAAAAUUGUGUACCUGGGCAAUCUGUUUUUUAACCACCUCUGAAGAAGUUCAAAAAAAAUUAUAUGAAGAGAUAAACCAAGUUUUUGGAAAUGGUCCUGUUACUCCAGAGAAAAUUGAGCAGCUCAG